GGACUACUGGGGUUUCUAAUCCCGUUCGCUCCCCUGGCUUUCGCCCAUUAGCGUCAGGUACUCCCCAGGACACUGCCUUCGCCUUUGGUAUUCCUCCGGAUCUCUACGCAUUUCACCACUCCACCCGGAAUUCUGUGUCCCUCUGAAGUCCUCCAGUCAGCCCGUCUUCGAGGCGCUCUCUCGGUUAAGCCGAGAGCUGUUACCUCGAACUGAACUGACCGCCUGCGGGCCCUUUACGCCCAAUAAAUCCGGACAACGCUUGCCCCCUACGUAUUACCGCGGCUGCUGGCAC
rnacentral:rRNA from 1 species